UACGUAGGGUGCAAGCGUUGUCCGGAAUUAUUGGGCGUAAAGAGCUCGUAGGCGGUUUGUCGCGUCGAAUGUGAAAACCCGGGGCUCAACCCCGGGCCUGCAUUCGAUACGGGCAGACUAGAGUUCGGUAGGGGAGUCUGGAAUUCCUGGUGUAGCGGUGAAAUGCGCAGAUAUCAGGAGGAACACCGGUGGUGAAGGCGGGACUCUGGGCCGAUACUGACGCUGAGGAGCGAAAGCGUGGGGAGCAAACAGG
rnacentral:rRNA from 1 species